rnacentral:lncRNA from 1 species
UGGAGGAAAACAACGGUUAAUCUCAGUUGGUAACAAUAAAUCGUAAAUACUUCCAAUAAUGUGAAGGCAGGGACGAAGGUCUCUCCUAACUUUUGGUUUCGUAGUGUUAAUUUUACCAAAGUUUCCAAUUUUAUACAGUUUUAAAUAUUGAAUUUUGAGAGUCUAUACACAGAAUUGUAAACUUAAUCAAAUCUGAGUUUGGUCCAACUUUAUUAAAAUUGAGUCACUAAACAAUGAAAACUCGUUAUAAAAGUUGGGUGAAAAAACUUAAAUAAAAAAACAAAAAUAAUUGGGUAAAACAAUCUGCUAUGUUCCUUAAAUUUCAUAAAGACCCAAAAGAAUUACGUAAACGAAAACAGUUGCUAAACUUGAAUUUCAAGUAAACUAAUAACUGUAUUUAUUUUUUAUAUAUAUUUAUACAAGCUGCCGAUUUAAGACCGGAAAAGUUAAAAAGGCUUCGUUUGAAUUUUUCCGGCGAAAGAGGUUACUAGAAAAUGUGAUUUAAGAUGGAGACAACUGAUAGUAAAUAUGCGAAUUAAACGAUAUACCUGGUAGUAUGUGUUUAGAAAAAACAUUGGAGAUUUGAGGAGUUUGAGGAUGGAGAUGGUGGUUACAAUUCUUGAUCAUAAGAAAAGUUUAUAAACACUUGUAGUGAUGCGAGAGCACGACGGCCACAGAGAAUGCGGGGCAUGGUUUUUGGCUUCAAGUUUCAUGCAAAAGAAGAUACAAGGUACUUGAUUUAAGUAUUUGAUGUGCGUCUUAGUAUCUUCUUGAUUUAACUCUUGCCUAACCACCACCCAGGCCCGGUUUUAGGGCUGGGCAGCCCGGGCAGACGCCAAGACCCAAAGGGUUUAUAGGGCCCGGCAAGAUUUGAAGGCCUAGAUUUUUAAGUGAGCACAGUUAUGUUAAAUAUUUGAUAAAUUAGUUUGAUAAACAAAAAUAUAGCUAGUUCAAUAGUUAAGACACUCAAAUGUGAAAACCAAGGUCAUGAGUUCUAAUCAUCUCCUUUGCAUUUUUAUUUAAACAAGUAUUAUAUGAUUCAUUGGUUAAUGUUUAAGGUUAUAGUCUUGAGCAUUUUUAUUUAAACAAUUUUCAACUAUUAGAUGGUUCAUUGGUUAAUGUUUUGGGUUAUAGUCUUGUGGUCAUGAGUUCAAACCCCAUGAUUAACUUUUAUUUUUAGUUAAUGAUUUUGUAAAGAUUCAUUUUCUAAAAAAAAAAAUUAUUAACGUUCUAUAAAGUGAGAUUACGUGACAUGUUAGGCCUAAAAACAUCACUAAUUUGAAUCACAUAUUUAUACAUACAUGGGUGUAUAAAUAUAUUUUAUCAAACUACACCAUUUUUUGUUUGUUUUGUUUAUUUUGUAACAAUUAUGGUCGCAUUGUGGUUUCUUGAUAUAUAAUUGAUGAGUUUAUAUUACAAUAAGUGAGCCCAAUUUUUUUUGUUUCGCCCAAGGCCCAAUUUUGUAACAAUUAUCGCCCAAGGCUCAGGUUUUUUCGCUGACCCUAGCAAUUUCAGUUUGCAACCUACCCAUUUCAGGGGUAACGGCUAGGGCUUAGACUUUUUCCACUAACUACCGGUUACAAAGCCAUUUUCUCAAAAAUGUCACGUGUCAGCAAAUGGUUGGUCUAUCAAUGAGUCCCGCCACCGGAAAAACCCCUACAUGACAACCUUUUAAGCUAGGUGUCACCUUUUGAAAAUUCUCAUUGAACCCCGCAAGAAAAAUGUUUUCAUUGUCUAUUUAACAUUCUCAAUUUGAUUUCUUUGACGACAAAUUUGGAUCAUUGACGGGCCACUGAGUAUCAUUGUACCAUAAGCGGAACCACCCGAUCAUAUCCAGCUCUACUAGGCAUAAUACCUAUACACCUACUUAGAAUGAAACCCAAUAAAUAUGAGAAAAAACCUCCUUGUGGGAAUCGAACCCAGCACCUAUUGAUCUCAAAGUGUUAUAUCAUCCCUAAAAUGCCACUAGGCUAUAAAGCCAUGGACCAUUCUCAAUUUGAUUAAUGUUUAGGAUGGUGAUUUUCCCUUAUUAGACCACCCUUAGUGGGGUUUUUUGGCGGUUUUUUCCCUAAUAAAAUGCCCCAAAACGCCCCUAGACCGCUCCCUCGGCGUUUUU